rnacentral:rRNA from 1 species
AUGAAGUUCAAUGAUAAUGACAAUCCUCACAAUAUGCACCCUAGCCAAUGCCUUUAUGAGUUUGAAAACUACAUUAGAAAACAAGAUCAGUUCAAUGCAAAUAUUAUGAAACAAUUGAAAUAUAAUUCUGAUAUGAUUGCUCGCUUGAGUGACUUGUUAUUUAUAAUCUCAAAUGAUGUUAGAGGUGUUGGAAAACAUGCUUCUAUGGUUCAAACUCAAUUAGAACAAGUUGCUAAAUCUCAAAGAGAGUUGCUUGAUGAAAUGAAUAAUAAUAUACAUGACUUUGGUGUUAGAGUAGCAACUUGA